UACGUAGGGGGCAAGCGUUGUCCGGAUUCAUUGGGCGUAAAGCGCGGGCAGGCGGCCCGCUCAGUCGGCCGUGAAAGCGCCGGGCUCAACUCGGCGAGGUCGGGCGAUACUGGCGGGCUCGAGGCUGGUAGAGGGCGGUGGAAUUCCGGGUGUAGUGGUGGAAUGCGUAGAGCUCCGGAGGAACACCAGUGGCGAAGGCGGCCGCCUGGGC
rnacentral:rRNA from 1 species